AUGCAUGACACUGCUGUCAGGUGGUCGUGAGUUAUAUACAUUUCCUCACUACUGCGAAGAGUCAUUAUGUGGAAGUAAAUGCAUGGUUUAUUACAGAUGCUAAACAGUUAGCAUGCCAUUCUUGGCUCUGAAUCUGAAAUCAUUAAGCUGUCAUGUUUGGCUGCAGAUAAAUCAAAGAUGUCGUGGUAUGCCUCUGAUCAUUUGCGGACUUUAAUGCGGUUGCAAAAUGGGUUACUACUUGAAGAGAAGUUUGCGUAUGGAAGUUUGAAGUUAUUCAGAAUUUCAAAGAUUUGGGACAAGUAAGCCAUAUUCUAAAGCUUCUUCUGUCAUACGCCAUGAACUUAAUAUGGUAGCACUUUGCUAUCUUGAUUUGUGAAGCUUUUAUACAUUGGAGCAAGGCAAUGCACAAGUUUCAGUUACAAAUGAUUUCCACAUCAGGAGAAGGAGAUAGCAGCAAAUGAGUGAAACACUGUUAAAGGGACAGAAUGAUCGCUACGAUGAGUCAUUGCUAAGACCACUUUUUAUUUAUCAUUGGAGGGGAUUAUUGGUAUUAAUCAUAGAGAAAUUGCGAGGAUGAAUUAGCAGAGAUGCCUCAUCCUAUCAGGCACAAAUCAUAGAUGCACUUUGAGAUGACAAUUCAGGAGCUAAAAACCUUGCGCUCUCUUUUAGCACUCUUCUGAAGCCAAGGGAAACAGAAGAUCUGUCAAUUGAGCAGAAGUUAAACAAACGAAGAAAGACGCUAGACUGAUAUCAACAGGUCGAUCACCAGCAAGACCAAGAGGUGAACUUCACUAUUCGAAAACCUCAAGUUGCUUAGAAGGCAAAUUAAGUCGGAAGAACCACGGGAGAGUAAAGGCGAUGACAAAGCAAGCAAGCAGGAAAUUACAGCAGGAUUGUUGACAUCUCCAUCUACAAUCAUUGUGUGUUGAAGAGGAAUUGGUUAUAUAUGAUGAACUUCUUCUGGCUUCUACUGCCCUUUGGUUCCAUUCUAUCACCAUCAUUCUGCUAGGCCUCUCCUCUAAUACUCUUGUUUCCACAUUUUUUGCUGUCUUCCCACAUAUUUCACAUGAUCUGUAAAAUCACAUAACAAUGCUCUCUUACAUAAAUAAAACUCAAGGAGAUUAUAGAUCU